rnacentral:rRNA from 1 species
UACGGGGGGAGCAAGCGUUGUUCGGAUUUACUGGGCGUAAAGGGCGCGUAGGCGGCGUAACAAGUCACUUGUGAAAUCUCCGGGCUUAACUCGGAGCGGUCAAGUGAUACUGUUGUGCUAGAGUGCGGAAGGGGCUACUGGAAUUCUCGGUGUAGCGGUGAAAUGCGUAGAUAUCGAGAGGAACACCUGCGGCGAAAGCGGCUUCCUGGUCCAGCACCGACGUUCAGGCACGAAAGCGUGGGGAGCAAACGGG